CUAUAUGGUACUGUCCUUGGUUUUGUUCAUAUCCAUAUAUAGGAUCCAGUAGUCCUAGUUUUCUUGUUACCUCUACUAAAAUAGCCUUUGGAGAUGGUGGAGAUAUUACAAUGAACAUCGAAAGACAUGGAGAGUUAUGAUUUCUAGCACACAUUACAAUUGAAUAAGGUAGUAUAUCUAAACUCAUCAUCUGGACUUCGAAUGGCAUCUUACGC
rnacentral:lncRNA from 1 species